CAGCAGCCGCGGUAAUACGUAGGUGGCAAGCGUUGUCCGGAAUCAUUGGGCGUAAAGAGCGCGUAGGUGGCUUGCCAGGUCCGAUGUGAAAACCUGGGGCUUAACUCCAGGCCUGCAUCGGAAACCGGCUUGCUAGAGUCUGGGAGAGGAGAGUGGAAUUCCUGGUGUAGCGGUGAAAUGCGUAGAUAUCAGGAGGAACACCGGUAGCGAAGGCGGCUCUCUGGAACAGUACUGACGCUGAGGCGCGAAAGCUAGGGGAGCAAACAGGAUUAGAUACCCUGGUAGUCCUAGCCGUAAACGAUGGACACUAGGUGUCGGGGGUGUCGACUCCCUCGGUGCCGAAGCUAACGCAUUAAGUGUCCCGCCUGGGGAGUACGGCCGCAAGGCUAAAACUCAAAGGAAUUGACGGGGGCCCGCACAAGCAGUGGAGCAUGUGGUUUAAUUCGACGCAACGCGAAGAACCUUACCUGGGCUUGACAUGUACGUGGUAGGAAUCGGAAACGUGCCCGACCCCUCGGGGAGCGUACACAGGAGGUGCAUGGCC
rnacentral:rRNA from 1 species